ensembl:lncRNA
AUGGCUACGGCCGAGCCGGCGCCUAUGCCUCGGGCGAUCAGAUUGAGCACGUGCUCAUUCUCUCCGGUCGCUACACCUCCGCCUCCACCCCCGGAUUACCAGUCCAACAAGAGGCUGAAGCAGCGGAGGAAGAAGGAUUAUGCAACGGCAGACAUUGGACUUACUCCGCUACAGUCUUUUGCUCUCUUUAUGGGACUACAGCGUUCUGAGCUUCAUAACCUCUCUGAUUCCUCAUCGCAGCCCGGUCCAUUGGAGGAUUUGCAGCCCAGUUUGCCACCUCCAACUUCCUGGAGGAGGCGGCGCUCACACUGUCACCACUCUUUCUCUGCGGAGCAACUCACAGUGGUGAGUUUUAAUGACUGCUUUUGUUCCUCUGAGCUAGAAAAAGACAAUCAUAUGAACACUGCUAAAACUGAGACUGUUAAGACUGUUAAGACUAUUAGACGUGGUGGUGGUAGGAAGCUAAAAAACAUUUUAGGGGAGUCUGUGUUUGCUGACCCUGCUCCUUCGCCCCGUUGUGUUGCUGCUCCCAGGGCAGCUCAGGCCCAGCAUUCCCCUGCACCUGUUUCAGUGCUUCAGGUGAGGGAGGCUGAGGUCCAGCUGGUCCCUGCACCGGUGUCCAGGCCGGCUGAGCCUCUGCCUGUCACUGCACCCGUACCAGCUCCUCGGGUGGGGACAGCAGCUGCCCAGCCAUUGACGGUGCCUGUCCCGGCUCCCAGGGUGAGGAUGACCGGGAACCAGUUAGCUCCGGCACCCGUACCUUCUCCUCGGGUGGGAGUGGCUGGUGUCUGGCAGGUACCUGCACCUGUUUCUGACCUCGCUGGAGGCUCAGGUGAGCCCGUCCAGCAGUUUUCUUCAGGCUCCGUAGGCUCAGAAAACCUAGCCCAGCAAUCUGCUCAUCCACUACCUCACACACCAUUACUACCAUUGUUGCAACAGUCAAUACAUCUUAAACUUCUAUCCAUAGCUCAAACAUUAGCUCACCUAUCGGCUCAGUCACCUGCUCAGUUACCACCUCAGUCAUUUACUCCACUGCCUGUUCCUGCUGGAGGGACCGCGGGGCCCGUCCAGCCAUCUGUUCCUGCUGGGGGUUCUGGAGAACCGCAUCAGCCUUUGUUCGUCUGUGCUGGAGAGUCCAAGGGGCCCAUCCGGCCUUUGUCUGUUGUUCCUGCUGGGGGUUCUGGUGAACCGCUCCAGCCGUCUCUCGUCUCUGCUGAAGGGUCUGAGGGGCCCGUUCAGCCUUCUGUCUCCACUGGAGGGCCCGAGGGGCCUGUUCAGCCUUCGUUGCCUGCAGCGCCACCUCCUGUUCCGUUGCCUGAAGCGCCACCACCUGCUCCGUCACCUGCAGCGCCACCACCUGCGGCUCCCACGCCGUCGCCUGCAGCGCCACCACCCACGGCUCCCUCCUCGUCUGGUCCAGCCUCCGAGUCUUUGUCCUCGUCUGGUCCAGCUUCAGCUUCGCCUGGUCCAGCUUCAGCCUCGUCAUCCUCGCCUGCAGCAGCCUCUGCUUCAGCCUCUGCGUCGCCUGGUCCAGCCUCCGUGUCUUCACCUUCAGCGUCGCCUAGUCCUGCCUCACCCAAUCUUGCUUCGUCUGCGCCUGAGGUCUCCAUGCCGUCUGGUUCUGCCUCACCUCGUCCUGUCCAGCCUGCACGUCCUCGUCCUGUCUGGCCUGCACGUCCUCGUCCUGUCUGGCCACCUUCCAGGCCGUUGGCUGGAUAUCGUCGUUGUCGCGACCGGCCUCCGGCCUUGCUUAGUCACUGCCGCUGCUGCCUUCCACGCGGCCAGCCUCCGGACCUGCUCUGUUGCUGCCGUUGCCUUCCACGCGGUUGGCCUCCAGGACUCAUUUUUGUACUUUUGUGUUGUCGCCCGGCCGGCCCGGGGUUUGGACUCUUGGGCCAUCGUCCUCCGGGCCGGCCCCCUGAGCCGCCCGGGUUUGGACUGUUGUGCUGUCAGCCUCCGGGCCGGCCCCCUGAACUUUUUCGGAAUGGUUUUCCUGGCCGGCCUCCGGACCCCCUUUGCCUGGGUUGCCGUGCGCACUGUCGGCCCCCUGAACUGUUUCCACGUCGCCGCCACUGCCUUCCGUGUGGUCAGACGCCUGCACUGAACUGUGUUUGGGCUACUAUCUUGGGCUGUGGUGUUUCCUGUGACCUGGUUUUGUUUUCUGUUGCGACUGGAGGCUUUUAG